CGAGCGAGACGGGGGGCACCCCUUAGGUAGCGGCACACGGGUCAGUAAUGCGUGGAUAACUUGCCCUUGAGACUGGGAUAACGGCGGGAAACUGCCGCUAAUACCGGAUGGCCUCGCGGACCGGCAUCGGACUGCGAGUAAAGGUGGGGACCGAAAGGCCUGCUGCUCGAGGAGGGGUUCACGACCUAUCAGCUAGUUGGUGAGGUAACGGCCCACCAAGGCGACGACGGGUAGGCGGGCUGAGAGGCUGACCGCCGACACUGGGACUGAGAACUGCCCAGACUCCUACGGGAGGCUGCAGUCGAGAAUCUUCCACAAUGGACGCAAGUCUGAUGGAGCGACGCCGCGUGUGGGAUGAAGGUCUUUGGAUUGUAAACCACUGUCACGCGUUAUGAAUGCGCAGCAGUCAAUACCUGCUGCGUUGACAAAGGCGCGAGAGGAAGUCACGGCUAACUCUGUGCCAGCAGCCGCGGUAAUACAGAGGUGGCAAGCGUUGCUCGGUAUCACUGGGCUUAAAGGGCGCGUAGGCGGUGCGGUGCGGUUUCGGUGAAAUCCCUCGGCCCAACCGAGGAACAGCCGGGGCUACGGCCGCGCUAGACGGCAUCAGGGGACAGUGGAACUUCCGGUGGAGCGGUGAAAUGCGUAGAUAUCGGAAGGAACGCCAGUGGCGAAAGCGACUGUCUGGGGUGCCUGUGACGCUGAGGCGCGAAAGCCAGGGGAUCAAACGGGAUUAGAUACCCCGGUAGUCCUGGCCCUAAACGAUGCGCACUAGGUAGCGGGAGGUUCCGACUUCCCGCUGC
rnacentral:rRNA from 1 species